rnacentral:rRNA from 1 species
CCUACGGGAGGCAGCAGUGAGGAAUAUUGGUCAAUGGACGAGAGUCUGAACCAGCCAAGUAGCGUGAAGGAUGACUGCCCUAUGGGUUGUAAACUUCUUUUAUAUGGGAAUAAAACGUUCCACGUGUGGGAUUUUGUAUGUACCAUAUGAAUAAGGAUCGGCUAACUCUGUGCCAGCAGCCGCGGUAAUACGGAGGAUCCGAGCGUUAUCCGGAUUUAUUGGGUUUAAAGGGAGCGUAGGUGGCGUGUUAAGUCAGUUGUGAAAGUUUGCGGCUCAACCGUAAAAUUGCAGUUGAAACUGGCAGUCUUGAGUACAGUAGAGGUGGGCGGAAUGCGUGGUGUAGCGGUGAAAUGCUUAGAUAUCACGAAGAACUCCGAUUGCGAAGGCAGUUCACUGGACUGCAACUGACACUGAGGCUCGAAAGUGUGGGUAUCAAACAGGAUUAGAUACCCUUGUAGUC